rnacentral:rRNA from 1 species
GACGAACGCUGGCGGCGUGCUUAGCACAUGCAAGUCGAACGGAAAGGCCCUGCUUUUGUGGGGUGCUCGAGUGCGAACGGGUGAGUAACACGUGAGUAACCUGCCCUUGACUUUGGGAUAACUUCAGGAAACUGGGGCUAAUACCGGAUAGGAGCUCCUGCUGCAUGGUGGGGGUUGGAAAGUUUCGGCGGUUGGGGAUGGACUCGCGGCUUAUCAGCUUGUUGGUGGGGUAGUGGCUUACCAAGGCUUUGACGGGUAGCCGGCCUGAGAGGGUGACCGGCCACAUUGGGACUGAGAUACGGCCCAGACUCCUACGGGAGGCAGCAGUGGGGAAUAUUGCACAAUGGGCGGAAGCCUGAUGCAGCAACGCCGCGUGCGGGAUGACGGCCUUCGGGUUGUAAACCGCUUUCGCCUGUGACGAAGCGUGAGUGACGGUAAUGGGUAAAGAAGCACCGGCUAACUACGUG